UACGUAGGGUGCAAGCGUUGUCCGGAAUUAUUGGGCGUAAAGAGCUCGUAGGCGGUUUGUCUCGUCUGCUGUGAAAACCCGAGGCUCAACCUCGGGCCUGCAGUGGGUACGGGCAGACUAGAGUGCGGUAGGGGAGAUUGGAAUUCCUGGUGUAGCGGUGGAAUGCGCAGAUAUCAGGAGGAACACCAAUGGCGAAGGCAGAUCUCUGGGCCGUAACUGACGCUGAGGAGCGAAAGCAUGGGGAGCGAACAGG
rnacentral:rRNA from 1 species